AGCACAUCCUCAGAGACAGAGCCACGUCAGGCCUCAUCAACAGGUGCAAGUCUGAAGACAGAGAGUCCAGUCAGCCCGCCGCUGAACAAAGGGCUGGAGAACCCUGAGAGUCGGCGUGAGACACAUCAGCAGCAGGGGACUGAAAACGCACCGGAACGUUGGUCUUGUUAGCGACCUUCAGGAUUAUGCAGAAAAUCCGAGGAUGCACGCAAGGGUGUGAAAUGGUCCUUCGUCUGUCAGGUCAGUCGUUUCAGCUCAAAAGUGUUUCUCCUCCUGUGUCACAGAGGAAAGGGGCCAGUGGAGGUGUAGGAACAUACAUAUGGUGUAACUUAGAGGAGAUAUGACCUACGAUCAAGACAUUUUUAAUAACCGCCACUCCGCUUUGGUCUUCCUGUGUUUGCACUGAGGACAAACCUGUCUGUGUUUUGCCUUCCUGUGGGGACGAUUGAUUCGGCCUCCAUUUUCCAUCAGCUGAGCCGCGCCUUCUUGGAAAAUUCGCAAAUGGGGUUAUA